GACGAACGCUGGCGGCGUGCUUAACACAUGCCAGUCGAACGGUGAAGCGCCUUCCUUUUUGGCGGGUGUGGAUGAGUGGCGAACGGGUGAGUAACACGUGAGUAACCUGCCCCCUUCUUCUGGAUAACCGCAUGAAAGUGUGGCGAAUACGGGAUAUUCUGGGUCUGUAGCAUGAUGGGUCUGGGUAAGAUAUUGUUUCGGUGGAGGAUGGGCUCGCGGCCUAUCAGGUUGUUGGUGGGGUGAUGGCCUACCAAGGCGGUGACGGAUAGCCGGCCUGGGAGGGUUGACUGUCACACUGGGACUGAGGCACGGCCCGGACUGGUAUGGGAGGCGGCAGUGGGGACUAUUGCGCAAUGGGGGCAAGCCUGGUGCACCGACGGCGCGUGAGUGAUGGAGCCAUGCGGGUUGUGAAACGCUUUCGCCAGUGAAGCAGAGCUGCCUCGUUUGUGGGUGGUUUGACGGUAGCUGGAUAAGAAGCGCCGGCUAACUACGUG
rnacentral:rRNA from 1 species